CGACUCUCGGCAACGGAUAUCUAGGCUCUCGCAUCGAUGAAGAACGUAGCGAAAUGCGAUACUUGGUGUGAAUUGCAGAAUCCCGCGAAUCAUCGAGUUUUUGAACGCAAGUUGCGCCCGAAGCCAUUCGGUCGAGGGCACGUCUGCCUGGGUGUCACG
rnacentral:rRNA from 1 species